GUGCUUGCUUUGGCUGCACAAAUACUAAAUUUUGAACAAUACAGAGAUUAGCAUGGCUCCUGUGCAAGGAUGACACAGAAUUUUAUAAAGCAUUCCAUAUUUUU
ensembl:snRNA U6 U6 spliceosomal RNA